CCACUUACCUGGCAGGGGACAUACCAUGAUCACGAAGGUGGUUUUCCCAGGGCAAGUCUUAUCUAUUGCGCUCCUGAUGUUCUGACCCUUGCAAUUUUCCCAGAUGUGGGAAACUUGACUGCAUAAUUUGUGGUAGUGGGGGACUGUGUUUGCUAUUUCCCCCC